CCCCCAUCCCAAGUCCCACAUCUCCCUCACUUCCCUCCUCUUCCCGCGUGUGCGCUCCGAUGGACGAGGUCGACGGUGCCCUCCCUCCCUACUACCCUCACGGCGGCGGGUCUUCCUUCGCGAGGAAGGUAAUGUUCUCCUCCGCUUCCCCCUCCUCCGCCUCGGAGUGCGGCCCCGUCGUCUUCCCUCACUUAGUGGGCGGCCGUGCUCCCGCCGCAUCCGCGCCUUCUCCCGCCGAACCCGUCCGGAGAAAGCGGGGGAGGCCGAGGAAAUACGGCGCGUCGCCCUUUCCUUCUCCUCCCUCUCUCGUAUCUUCUGUCAAGAAGCCUUCGGUUCAGCUACCAUCAUCGCGGUCGUCGUCUUCUUCACGGAAGAAGGAAGCCUCUUCCUCUUCUUCCAAGAAAGCUCAGCUUGCAGCUCUCGGUAAUGUUGGACAAGGAUUUACACCGCAUGUCCUUACUAUUGCUUCUGGAGAGGAUCUAUCCCAGAAAAUUAUGUCAUUCGUGCAACAGCACAGGCGUGCAUUUUGUAUUCUCUCAGCAUCUGGUUCUAUUUCUAGUGCAUCCCUUAUCCAGCCAGCCAUGUAUGGGGGAUGCAUAACAUAUGAGGGAAGGUUUGAGAUUCUUUCACUUUCUGGAUCUUUUCUGCAUACUGAAACUGGUGGGGCAUCCUCAAGAACUGGCGGACUAAGUAUAUGCCUUUCUGGUGCGGAUGGUCGUGUAAUUGGGGGUGGAGUUGGAGGGCCUUUAUUAGCUACUGGCCCUGUGCAGGUAAUUGCUUGUUCCUUCUUAAUUGAUACUGACAGAGAAAUCAGUUCUGCCAAAACAGUGGAAAAUUCUGCCAGCAUACCAUCUAUUACAACCCAAGCUGGAACUACCGUCACAACCAUCAAUUUCAAAUCCACAGAAGAAUCGAAUUUGAGAACUACAACCAGCAGGGGGAGUGAUGAUCAUCAAACUAUUGGUGCAAGUGCAAGCAGUUAUAUGCUAAAAUCUCGAGCAAUGCAUAUGGUGCCACCAUUCUCAUCAAUGGAAUGGAGAGGGAAGAUCUGAAUCAUCAUUCUUGGGGCUAGUCUCUUGCAGCAUUUGAGUAUAAUACUUGCAGGAAGGCAAGAUGGUGUGCAUGGAGCAUGUCAGUCACCAGAUGAUGACAAUGAAAAUAUUCAAGAUUAGCCGCAGUUGGGAGCGGAAGGUCUUACAAGUUCUGUUCAUAGCUUUGUGUGUUUCUUGGUUAGAAAAUCAUAUGGGCCUUAGAAAAUGGAUAAUGGAUACAAAAACCUUUAUAUGACACAAAAUUCUCCAUGAGGUCUGUAUAAUGAUCUCCUACACUAGAUUUGAAAUAGUGAUACCCCUUUUUUGUGCAUAAAGGGUAUGUGGCACAUAGAUGGGUUGAGAUGACCAUGCUUCUCCUCAUCAUAUCAAAUCCUCCUUAUAUAGCAAUUUUUGUUAACUCUCAUCUUUGCCACAGAAUGUACAUAUAAAAUGCUCUUCUGACAGAUUUUUAAUGAUUACUGAAGAGAUACUGGUUGCCAACCUUA